AAAGGUAUAGCUCAGUCGUAAAGCACAUGCUUAGCAUGCAUGAGGUCCUGGGUUCAAUUCCCAGUACCUCCA
rnacentral:tRNA from 1 species